CAAGGUGAUGCUUGUGUUCUCUAGUGGUCUUUCAGUUCUCCUAGAGCUGAGCUGAAGGAACUGAAGCCAAAUCUCAAUGCCAGCAUCAAACAUUAGCUACUCAGAGUCACAAAAUGCCUCUGGAUGUGUGAAUCACUGCGUGGGAUCAGUUGUUCCCUUUAUUACCUAUCAUCAUCCCUUCUCUUCAGGAAAGUUGCUGUUCCAUACAUAGACUCCCAUGCCUCUGGGCAUCAAGAGCCAAGCUUGAGGAAAGCACUGCAAGUUGUGAGAUAUGUGGCAUGCUGAUUCUGUUAAUUGUAUUCUUUUGUAUACAUUUCCGAUGCAUUUUCCCACUGUUGCUUCUUUCAGGGAAUAGAUUGGACUUUUGCACGUAGACUAUAGCUGUGCAUUUACUUGGAAAAAAUUGAGUAAUUCAGAGAGUGUGUUCCCUUCCUUCACAUCUGCUACAACUGAAAAUUACUGGAAAAUCUUGAGGAAAGAAAAUUUUAGAAAAAAGGUACAGGCACAGGCCAUGUGUGUGGAUGGGGAGAGAAAAUGCAGGGAGGCAAGAUUUGCUGCUCAUGUGCUACUCCACCUGCAUAGUCACAGGAGCUGCUGCAGGACUAGCAGUACCAAAAAGCAGAUGCUUGUCAUCCUGUGUGGGCAAAAUAUGUGUCCAAACUGGACGUAAAGUAGACCCUGGACUCAUUGUUUAGUUUAAUAUUAAAGCAGACAGGAAUGAUUUUUUUAUUUUUUUUUUAACUGCACAAUGUUUCCUUCCUGUGUAUCCUUCCUUUUCUUUACUUUCCUCAUUUGUCUGUCUUGUUCCCAUCAUAAAUCUGGUGUUUGUUUAAAUGAAUAAAGAGCACUUUUGAUAAG